AGACCCGAAACCCGGUGAUCUAGCCAUGGGCAGGUUGAAGGUUGGGUAACACUAACUGGAGGACCGAACCGACUAAUGUUGAAAAAUUAGCGGAUGACCUGUGGCUGGGGGUGAAAGGCCAAUCAAACCGGGAGAUAGCUGGUUCUCCCCGAAAGCUAUUUAGGUAGCGCCUCGUGAAUUCAUCUCCGGGGGUAGAGCACUGUUUCGGCCAGGGGGCCAUCCCGGCUUACCAACCCGAUGCAAACUGCGAAUACCGGAGAAUGUUAUCACGGGAGACACACGGCGGGUGCUAACGUCCGUCGUGAAGAGGGAAACAACCCAGACCGCCAGCUAAGGUCCCAAAGUCAUGGUUAAGUGGGAAACGAUGUGGGAAGGCCCAGACAGCCAGGAUGUUGGCUUAGAAGCAGCCAUCAUUUAAAGAAAGCGUAAUAGCUCACUGGUCGAGUCGGCCUGCGCGGAAGAUGUAACGGGGCUAAACCAUGCACCGAAGCUGCGGCAGCGAACGUAUCACCCAAGACAACUUUGCACAGUUGACGAUUGACGGAGCGAAGCGACGUCAAAGCGUUUUACAACGUCGAGUUGGCUUAGGGAUACGUUCGUUGGGUAGGGGAGCGUUCUGUAAGCCUGUGAAGGUGUGUCGUGAGGCAUGCUGGAGGUAUCAGAAG
rnacentral:rRNA from 1 species